GACGAACGCUGGCGGCGUGCUUAACACAUGCAAGUCGAACGGUGAAGCGGGACCCUUUGUGGUUUUGUGGAUCAGUGGCGAACGGGUGAGUAACACGUGAGUAACCUGCCCUUGACUUUGGGAUAACAGUUGGAAACAGCUGCUAAUACUGGAUAUGACUCUGCUGGGCAUCUGGUGGGGUGGAAAGCUUUUGCGGUCAGGGAUGGGCUCGCGGCCUAUCAGCUUGUUGGUGGGGUAGUGGCCUACCAAGGCGUCGACGGGUAGCCGGCCUGAGAGGGCGACCGGCCACACUGGGACUGAGAUACGGCCCAGACUCCUACGGGAGGCAGCAGUGGGGAAUAUUGCACAAUGGGCGCAAGCCUGAUGCAGCAACGCCGCGUGCGGGAUGACGGCCUUCGGGUUGUAAACCGCUUUCAGCAGGGACGAAGGAGUUUUUUGACGGUACCUGCAGAAGAAGCACCGGCUAACUACGUG
rnacentral:rRNA from 1 species